CCUACGGGAGGCAGCAGUGGGGAAUAUUGCACAAUGGGGGAAACCCUGAUGCAGCGACGCCGCGUGAGUGAAGAAGUAAUUCGUUAUGUAAAGCUCUAUCAGCAGGGAAGAAAAUGACGGUACCUGAGUAAGAAGCCCCGGCUAACUACGUGCCAGCAGCCGCGGUAAGACGUAGGGGGCAAGCGUUAUCCGGCGUUACUGGGUGUAAAGGGAGCGUAGACGGCAGUGCAAGUCUGGAGUGAAAGGCGGGGGCUCAACCCCCGGACUGCUCUGGAAACUGUACGGCUGGAGUGCAGGAGAGGUAAGUGGAAUUCCGAGUGUAGCGGUGAAAUGCGUAGAUAUUAGGAGGAACACCAGUGGCGAAGGCGGCUUACUGGACUGUAACUGACGUUGAGGCUCGAAAGCGUGGGGAGCAAACAGGAUUAGAUACCCCUGUAGUC
rnacentral:rRNA from 1 species